UUUCAAAUUAUUCACAAUGGGCGAAAGCCUGAUGGUGCAACGCCGCGUGAGGGAAGAAGGUCUUCGGAUUGUAAACCUCUGUCACUGGGGACAAAAACCCGGGCUCAUACCCCGGUUUGAUUUAACUCGGAGAGGAAGUAGUGGCAAACUCUGUGCCAGCAGCCGCGGUAAUACAGAGACUACGAACGUUACUCGGAUUCACUGGGCGUAAAGGGUGCGCAGGCGGUCAGGUGUGUCAGGUGUGAAAUCUCGGGGCUUAACCCCGAAACUGCGCUUGAAACUAUCUGACUGGAGUUUUGGAGGGGUAAGCGGAAUUCUAGGUGUAGCGGUGAAAUGCGUAGAUAUCUAGAGGAACACCAACGGCGAAGGCAGCUUACUGGCCAAAAACUGACGCUCAUGCACGAAAGCGUGGGGAGCAAAAA
rnacentral:rRNA from 1 species